rnacentral:rRNA from 1 species
UACGGAGGGGGCGAGCGUUGUUCGGAUUUACUGGGCGUAAAGCGUGCGCAGGUGGUUUAAUAAGUCUGAUGUAAAAGGCAGUGGCUCAACCAUUGUGUGCAUUGGAAACUGUUAGACUUGAGUGCAGUAGAGGAGAGUGGAAUUCCAUGUGUAGCGGUGAAAUGCGUAGAUAUAUGGAGGAACACCGGUGGCGAAAGCGGCUCUCUGGACUGUAACUGACACUGAGGCUCGAAAGCGUGGGUAGCAAACAGG